AAACCCUCUCUAAAAAGGGAGCAAAAAGGGAGAGCAAACAGAGCCCAGUUCCUUUGGAUUUGUCACCAGAGGGGAGAAAUCCUUUGUCAGUCAGUGCCUCCAGCUGAAACACGAAUUCUGCUGAGCUGGGAGAGGUGAGAGCCCACAGAAGCACGGCAUGGGCUGGAAGGAGGUUUAAGGAUCAUUCACUUCCACCUCCUGCCACCAGCAGCGACAUUUCCACCAGCCCAGCCCGCUCCAGCCCGGCCUGGGGCACUGCAGGGAUGCAGGGGCAGCCACGGCUGCUCUGGGAAUUUUAUUUCAGCUCAGCAUUUCCCUCACCUCAGCACCUUCCUCAGCAUCUUCCUCACCUCAGCACCUUCCUCAGCACCUCCCUCACCUCAGCAUCUUCCUCACCUCCUUCCUCACCUCAGCAUCUCCCUCAGCACCUUCCUCAGCAUCUCCUUCACCUCAGCAUCUCCCUCAACACCUUCCUCAGCACCUUCCUCACCUCAGCAUCUCCCUCACCUCAGCAUCUCCCCCAGCACCCUUCUCAGCAUCUUCCUCACCUCAGCACCUUCCUCAGCAUCUCCUUCACCUCAGCACAUUCCUCACCUCAGCACCUCCCCACACCUCAGCAUCUCCCUCAGGACCUUCCUCAGCAUCUCCUUCACCUCAGCAUCUCCCUCACCACAGCACCUCCCUCAGCACCUUCCUCAGCACCUUCCUCAGCAUCUCCUUCACCUCAGCACCUCCCUCACCUCAGCACCUCCCCACACCUCAGCAUCUCCCUCAGGACCUUCCUCAGCAUCUCCCUCACCUCAGCAUCUCCCUCACCACCUUCCUCAGCAUCUCCCUCACCUCAGCAUCUCCCUCACCUCAGCACCUCCCCACACCUCAGCACCUCUCACCAUCUCCCUCAGCUCAGUACCUCUCAGCACAGCAUCUCCCUCACACCAGCAUCUCCCUCAGCUCAGCACCUUCCUCACCUCAGCAUCUUCCUCAGCACCUCCCUCANNNNNNNNNNNNNNNNNNNNNNNNNNNNNNNNNNNNNNNNNNNNNNNNNN
rnacentral:lncRNA from 1 species